rnacentral:misc_RNA from 1 species
GAUGACGAACGUAGCGAAAUGCGAUACGUAAUGUGAAUUGCAGAUUUCAGUGAAUCAUCGAAUCUUUGAACGCACAUUGCGCCCGCCAGUAUUCUGGCGGGCAUGCCUGUUCGAGCGUCAUUUCAACCAUCAAGCGCCUCGCUUGUGUUGGGGCCCUGCGGCUGCCGCAGGCCCCUAAAUCCAGUGGCGGGCUCGUCGUCGUACCGAGUGCAGUAAACAUCCUCGCUCAGGGAACCCGACGGGUGCCGGCCGUGAAACCCCCCCUCCUCAAGGUUGACCUCGGAUCAGGUAGGAAUACCCGCUGAACUUAAGCAUAUCAAUAAGCGAGGA